UGGAAGUGGACAGACUUUCAUCUGCCAAGUUUGUGCCUAUCUCACUGGCACUUCAAAGGUGAACAUUGUCCUUAUUCUUGUAAUGUGUGAAGUUCUUUACUGGCAUUUCUAAAUAUAGGAAUUUAUCUGUGGAUCAGAUGCCUUACACAUCAUGAGACAGAACUUCAGCAGUGGUAGAAUCACACAUAUAUUUCAGACCGCAGAUUUCUGAAAAAUGUGCUCAAGCUGUCUAUGGAUAUACAACCCAUUUCCAAGUGCUACCCUUCACUUGAAGGGAAACUACAAUAAAAAUUGAAAGAGAAAAUGCUCAAAAAGCCAAAGCCUUCUUGUCUUCCUCUAGGUGGCAUUCAGCCAGCACAAGGCAGUGAUCAGAGAACACGAGUGUAACAUCAGAGGCUCAAACCAUGAGCAUUUGAGGCUCACAAGGACAUCUACCCUCAAUCGAUCUGACCUGCCAGCCUGCAACCUGGGAUAUAGGAGUUAUGAGACCAUUGAGUGGCUUGCUAGAGCCCUGCUACUACCCGUCAGAAGUCGCAUAUAGGCUAGAUUGUAUAAGAAUGGAAGAUUUCCUUCAACAUAUGUUUUUAAAACAAUCUAGUCAUUUUAUAUCAUUAUUGCUCAGACUAAAUUAUUUACUUUAUUUAUUGAAUCUCCCUUGGUAAAUGAAAGAAGAUGAGCCAAAAGAUCUUCUUCCUCCUCCUACUAGUCAUCCUGAAAAAGUCAAUAUAGACUGCAAGCAGGUAGAAACUGAUAUUUGGGGAGAUGAUACACUCCCAGAAAUAAGGUAUGCAAUUUUGUUCCUUAGAGGAGAUAGAAUAUGCUGUAGCCUUUAUUGUUAUUUCAUUAACUUCAGCUCAUGAAAUAAAAAUUAUACCUGUAUUGUAAAGCCAAACUCCUGACGUAGGAAGUGUGCUCUGGUUUCAGUACUCGUAAUCCCUUUGAAAGAUAGGUACUUAAUUUGAAAGCUGGUAGAAUAAUACUACAAUACCUACAAGUUACAAGUACAGGCUUAAGUUUUGUCACAUGGGUGUUCCAGGAGGAGUGCACGUGUUCAUCACCAAGCCCAACAAAAUUGCAAUGUAGUUUUAAUCAAGAUUAGAUGAUAGACAUGCUCCAUUCAUACCUGGUUCACAAUAUCUUUAACUUCAUUGAUUUUUAAACAAAUGUAAGUUGUGUCUUUAAAGUCUUCACUCAAAGCAUUAAAUUGCCUG